GUGCCAGCCGCCGCGGUAAUACGGAGGGUGCAAGCGUUAAUCGGAAUUACUGGGCGUAAAGCGCACGCAGGCGGUCUGUCAAGUCGGAUGUGAAAUCCCCGGGCCCAACCUGGGAACCGCAUUCGAAACUGGCAGGCUAGAGUCUUGUAGAGGGGGGUAGAAUUCCAGGUGUAGCGGUGAAAUGCGUAGAGAUCUGGAGGAAUACCGGUGGCGAAGGCGGCCCCCUGGACAAAGACUGACGCUCAGGUGCGCAAGCGUGGGGAGCAAACAGGAUUAGAUACCCUGGUAGUCCACGCCGUAAACGAUGUCGACUUGGAGGUUGUGCCCUUGAGGCGUGGCUUCCGGAGCUAACGCGUUAAGUCGACCGCCUGGGGAGUACGGCCGCAAGGUUAAAACUCAAAUGAAUUGACGGGGGCCCGCACAAGCGGUGGAGCAUGUGGUUUAAUUCGAUGCAACGCGAAGAACCUUACCAACUCUUUGACUUCCAGAGAACUUAGCAGAGAUGCUUUGGUGCCUUCGGGAACUCUGAGACAGGUGCUGCAUGGCUGUCGCAGCUCCGUGUUGUGAAAUGUUGGGUUAAGUCCCGCAACGGGGCGCAACCCUUAUCCUUUUGGUUGCC
rnacentral:rRNA from 1 species